rnacentral:rRNA from 1 species
AUGCUUCUAUUAUCGAUCUGGAGUUGGGAGCACUUGCGAGUGGGGCGACCGACACCAAAGGGUUAUGACCCGUGGGAUGAUCAUCAUGACCCAGACCGUAUGCCUACAUGGGCAUAUAAGUGGGACAAGGUUGAAGGUUUUGUUGGCAACUCAAAGACCAUGUAUUUGCACUACUGCAAUGAGCUUGACAUCAUGACCCCGGAGUAG